ACGACAUCGGGGUCGUUGAUGUCCAUCCGCUGUGCGACAUGCGACAUGAGCAGAUGCUUGUGAACGAGGAACUCCAGCGUUUCCCGCUCGUGUUCCGGCAGUUGCAGCCGCCGUCCGGUUUCUUGCGCGAUGCGAUAACCGACCUCGGAAUGAUCCUCCACGUAGCCUUUGCCCAGGUCGUGCAGCAGGAUUGCCAGGUGCACCGUCCGCUUGUUGCGCAGGUGGCGGUAAACUUCGCCCGCCGGCGUGCUCGCCUUCAGCAGAUUUGUAAGUU
rnacentral:misc_RNA from 1 species